CCACUGCCCGUGAGACAGCAGACCUAAGGGCGAAGGAAACGUGAGUGAGAAGGACAAACAUGGUCUUUGCCCCUUGAAGCUUCGGCUCGUAGGGGAUGUGGAUAUUAAUCAAAGAACGGAACUGAUAUCGUGAGCAUGCUGAAGGAAAGUUACUGGUGCUGUGAGAGUGUCUUGGGGUGGCCUGUUGCAGUCUGGAAGAGUAAAGCAGGGCUCCUGGGGCCUUCUAGCUGAGAUCUGAGGAACAUUCUCAAUGAACGAGGCCCUCCUCCUCAGUUUGGUUGUGCUGAGAUUUGACCCUAUCUGUGGAUCCAGUGGCCAAGAGAAGAGAGACGCCAGGAUUCUUGUCUGUUCCAGAUCAGUUUUGUCAAUUCCCAUACCGCGCUGGUAUUACAGAUUCG
rnacentral:lncRNA from 1 species